GGGUGCGUAGGUGGUAAGGUAAGUCGGAUGUGAAAUCUCCGAGCUCAACUCGGAAAAUGCAUUGGAAACUACCUUGCUUGAGGGUUGGAGGGGGGACUGGAAUACUUGGUGUAGCAGUGAAAUGCGUAGAUAUCAAGUGGAACACCAGUGGCGAAGGCGAGUCCCUGGACAACUCCUGACACUGAGGCACGAAAGCUAGGGGAGCAAACAGGAUUAGAUACCCUGGUAGUCCUAGCCGUAAACGGUGCACGUUUGCUGUAAAAGGAAUCGACCCCUCUUGUGGCGUAGCUAACGCGUUAAACGUGCCGCCUGGGAAGUACGGUCGCAAGAUUAAAACUCAAAGAAAUUGACGGGGGCCUGCACAAGCGGUGGAGUAUGUGGCUCAAUUCGAUGCAACGCGAAGAACCUUACCUGGCCUUGACAUGCAUAUAGUAGAAGGGUGAAAGCCUGACGAGGUAGCAAUACCAGUAUGCACAGGUGCUGCAUGGCUGUCGUCAGCUCGUGUCGUGAGAUGUUGGGUUAAGUCCCGCAACGAGCGCAACCCCUGUGUCCUGUUGCCACCCGGCCGAGAGGCUGGAGCACUCUGGACAGACUGCCUCGCUUAUACGAGGAGGAAGGUGGGGAUGACGUCAAGUCAGUAUGGCCCUUACGGCCAGGGCUGCACACGUACUACAAUGCCCGGCACAAAGGGAAGCGAUACCGCAAGGUGGAGCUAAUCCCCAAAAACCGGGCCCAGUUCAGAUUGUCGUCUGCAACUCGACGGCAUGAAGCAGGAAUCGCUAGUAAUGGCGCAUCAGCUACGGCGCCGUGAAUACGUUCCCAGGCCUUGUACACACCGCCCGUCACAUCAUGAAAGCCGUUUGUACCCGAAGUCGCCGUGCCAACCGCAAGGGGGCAGG
rnacentral:rRNA from 1 species